UCGAAACUAACGUAGAUACGAGCUGCCAAACAUUAAGUAGAAAUACAAAAAAAUAGAUUACUUUAGCAGCUCAUAACUCGGGUUGUUUUAAAGAUAUCAAAAAAAUUUCAACUACAAAAUUGUAGAAAUUUAGGUAAUAAACACG
ensembl:ncRNA K12C11.8 ncRNA